UUUACCUACGGGGGGCAGCAGUGGGGGAUAUUGCACAAUGGGGGCAACCCUGAUGCAGCGACGCCGCGUGAGCGAUGGAGUACUUCGGUAUGUAAAGCUCUGUCAGCAGGGAAGAGAAUGACGGUACCUGACCAAGAAGCCCCGGCUAAAUACGUGCCAGCAGCCGCGGUAAUACGUAUGGGGCAAGCGUUAUCCGGAAUUACUGGGUGUAAAGGGAGCGUAGACGGCGAGGUAAGCCUGAAGUGGAAGCCCGCGGCCCAACCGCGGAACUGCUUUGGGAACUGUUUUGCUGGAGUAUGGGAGGG
rnacentral:rRNA from 1 species